GAUUUCAACUAAAAAAGUCAUCAAUAACAAAGUUAUAUAACUCAUCAAUAUCUAUAACUUUUAUUUUAAUCAUUUCUUCAUCCGACGAAGUGAUUUGUAACAUUAUUCUCAAAAUCUACAUAUCUCCCUUAUUGUUUAUAAACGUACCAGAGAUUACAUUUUGUGAAUAAUGUUACAAAUCACUUCGUCAAAUGAAGAAAUGACCCAAAUAAAAGUUAUAUAUCUUGAUGAGUUAUACAACAUUAUUGUUGAUGACUUUUUCAGUUGAAAUC
rnacentral:pre_miRNA from 2 species